rnacentral:misc_RNA from 1 species
CCGAGUUUACAACUCCCAAACCCUGUGAACAUACCACUUGUUGCCUCGGCGGAUCAGCCCGCUCCCGGUAAAACGGGACGGCCCGCCAGAGGACCCCUAAACUCUGUUUCUAUAUGUAACUUCUGAGUAAACCAUAAAUAAAUCA